GAUGAACGCUGGCGGCGUGCCUAAUACAUGCAAGUCGAGCGAACGGGCGAGAAGCUUGCUUCUCUGAUGUUAGCGGCGGACGGGUGAGUAACACGUGGAUAACCUACCUAUAAGACUGGGAUAACUUCGGGAAACCGGAGCUAAUACCGGAUGAUAUUUUGAACCGCAUGGUUCAAAAGUGAAAGACGGUCUUGCUGCCACUUAUAGAUGGAUCCGCGCUGCAUUAGCUAGUUGGUAAGGUAACGGCUUACCAAGGCAACGAUGCAUAGCCGACCUGAGAGGGUGAUCGGCCACACUGGAACUGAGACACGGUCCAGACUCCUACGGGAGGCAGCAGUAGGGAAUCUUCCGCAAUGGGCGAAAGCCUGACGGAGCAACGCCGCGUGAGUGAUGAAGGUCUUCGGAUCGUAAAACUCUGUUAUUAGGGAAGAACAUAUGUGUAAGUAACUGUGCACAUCUUGACGGUACCUAAUCAGAAAGCCACGGCUAACUACGUG
rnacentral:rRNA from 1 species